GUUUGUUCUCUGAAUUCACAGCCUGCCAGAAAUGUUUGAACUAAUAGCAACAAGAAUGAAACAUCUCAUUCUUUCCUAGGUCAUCUAAAUUACUUUGACACAAAGAAGCAGCUCAAUUUAAAGCUCAAGCUUCAGACUCAGCUACAAGCUGAAAAUAUAAAGAUCAAGAUAGAAGUCUCUAUGCCCUUGGAGCGAGCAACACAGUGGAUAAAAAAAGUUCUAACAAGUCCAGUCCAGUCUAAUACCAAAUUUUUGAUGUCUUCUGCAAUUGCAAGUUCCCUUCCUUCUCCAGCUACAUUCUGACAGCCCCAGAAAUCUGCAAUAUGUAAAGGAGCAGCCACACUGGAGAAUCAUUCAUUCUUGAAAGGGAGCCCAUCAGAAUCCUGAAGGAACCAUUCCAGAACUUAUGAAGCAAAUGAAUCUGAGCAGCAGAAAGGGUGGACCACAGUGGAGGCUGGUGUCCAGAUUCACCGCUUCAGGACUAAAGCACUUAUUUCCUAAGCUGCUGGGUGUGCUGACAGCUGACAACUCUAAUCUGAAUUCCUCUCUGAGAACCAAUUUUGGCUGAAGUCAGUCACCACAUCCAAACUCAUGCCUUAUUCCUGGUAAAGGUGGGACUAUAUAGGUCCAGACAACUUGCCUCAAUAGAGAACAUCUCUGCAGAGCCAUCCUAGCUUGAGCUCCCUGUGGGACUGACCUUUAUUCAGACUGUAUCACCUCAACUUCUUUUACCCAAUCCUGCUUCCUUCACUCCCCCAUGGGUGUUGAUCCAGAGGAUCCCCCUCCUAUAAACUUUCUGCAUGCAAGAAAAAAAAGAGAGAAAAAAGGAGAAAAAAGCAGACAAUAAUUUUUAUUCAUGUGCUUAAAAAGUUGUAAAAUCACCCAAGGAAGCACAUAAGUUGUCAGUAUGUGAACAAUGUUGGAAACAUUUUAUUUUGUCUGAUUUCCUUUGGGAGAAUUCAUUGCCAGCUAUAAAUCUGUGGAAACGCUGCCACACAAUCUUAGCACACAAGAUUGGCAGAAAAUCGCUUAGAAACACUGAAAACAUGUGACAAAGUGCUUUCCGUGAAAAGGGUGGAUGCGAAGCAGUAAGGACCCCCUUCAUGAAGCACGCGGUCACCCUCCAGCCACCAGAACCAGAGGAACGCUGUGGUAACUGAGGGAAAACGCAUCUAGGCACACGUCACGGUGGCACCUUCCAGCAGGUCCCCGGGGUUGUGCCCCUGGAGCUCUGACAAAGAGUGUGGCCCGGAAAUGUGAUGUUUGGACUGCAAGUUUUGGUGAGAAAUAACAAUGCAUCAGGUUGCAGACAAAGCAGACCCUGCUCUGUGCGUUUAUGGGAGCCGCGCCCAACAGGAACCACAGGGAAUGAUCGAAAGGAGAGGGACGGACACAAACAGACACACCAGAGAGAGGUUCUCAGGAGGAGGCUCUGUGGCCUCCAGACCACGUCAAAGCCAAGGCAGAAAGGAUGAACUGAGGAAAGGAGGAAAAUUUCCCCUUAAGGAAGGUAAAAUCCAGAAGGGAUCCCUAAAAUGGUGAGCAGUUUAAACCUAGCAGUUUUGCAUUAAUUCACAUAAAGUAUAAUGAAAACUGUUGGACACACAAGGAGAGACUGGCCAAUCUAUAGUCACAGAGGAAGACCUUCACACCCCUUCACAGGAUCUCGCAGCAGAUUGGCUGAAAAGUCUCCUUGAAACUGCAGACCUCUCUCAAGGAGACCCACUGAGUUGGGCAAAGGUGGGGCCGACUUAAUUCUUGCCUCCCUGCUCUCCCACGUAGCCCUGCAUUUCACUCCAUUCCAGGGUUUCUGGGACACCCGAGAAAGCACGUAGUCCAGGGAGCACGUCUGCCAACUGAAGGCCUUGACAAAUGACUUUCUGUACUGGCUGAGGGCCAGGGCCCAGCGUACUGAUAAGGAAGCUCUUCCAGAAAAAAGUUGGGACAAAGGCAUAUUAGUGAGUGGACACAAACUAGAAAAAUCUCCAAGUAAUACGUUAAUGCCAACAGAAAGCAUCCAUCUUGAAGGAAGCACAAACCAACAACACAUAUAAAAAUGACUCUGGCAAUUCACAUCAGCUAGCCUCUGCAUAGGCCAUCGCAGUACUGGCAAGACAUGAGCUAAGUGGCUACAGCAGCAGGGAGAGAAUUAAUGCAUGGACCCAAAAGCGUGGCUUCCCACUGACUAAGGCUGAUCUAGCUACUGUUGCCACCAAAGUCCAACCUGCCAGCAACAAAAAUCAAUGCUGAGCUCCCAAUAUGCCAUAUUGGGCCCAACCCCUGGGCCCCUGACCAGUACUGGUCUGUGGCCUGUUAGGAAUGGGGUCACAUAGCAGGAAGUGAGCAGCAGGCAGGGAGCAAAGCUUCAUCUGUAUUUACAGCGGCUCCCCAUCACUUGCAUUACCGCCUGGGCUCUGCCUCCUGUGAGAUCAGCUGCUGCAUUAGAUUCUCAUAGGAGUGCGAAUGCUACUGUGAACUGCAUAUGCAAGGGAUCUAGGUUUUGUGCUCCUUAUGAGAACCUAACUAAUGCCGCAUGAUCUGAGGCGGACAGUUUCAUGCCGUAACCAUUCCCAACAACCCCAAAGUCUCUGGAAAAAUUAUCUUCCACGAAACCAGUCCCUGGUGCCAAAAAGGUUGGGGAUUGCUGCAAUAUGGUAUUGUCCAUCACAGAGACAAACCAGCUUCUCGGUGGCCAGACACACUGAACUCCUUCCAUCCUAGAAAGGACAGGACUUCAUUGUGAUACCUAAUCUUGGCGUAACUUAGCCUUUCCUCCCUUCAGGGCCUUAGCCAGCACCACUAUCUGAAAUCUUACAGAGGAUUUGAUUCACUGAUGUGGAAUUCCAUAUAGCACCGUGUAGACCUGGGGAAUCAUUGUACAGCAAAAGAGAUGAGGGAGUGGGUCCACAACCAGGCACAGGUAGAACUCCAGCUUGGAGGCAGGUCUCUGUGAGGAUGGAGGGCCAGCCUCCAAGGUGCUGUAUAUGUAUGAAUUCAAAGAUGAUUCUGUGUCCCCACUAAGAAGAUUACAUGGGGUUUGGGAAUCAAAGAGUGGCAGCAAAAGAACUCUGAUUAGCACCCCCGCCAAUGAGCCACGUGGGGAGUCUCUGCCGCCCCUCCCUGCAGCUCUGGGACCCGCAGCAGAAAGGCCCCUGCAGCAGAAAGGCAAGAGUAUACGGCGGGUGCCACCUGGCCCCGCCAGGCUAACCCAGGGCAAUGCAGAGCAGUGGCAGGGAGAGGGGGUGAGGGGGAAGAAUGGCAGGGGCUGGGGGUGCCAUCACGCCCAGGGCGCGGGCAGGAGCGUGCAGCUGAGCCCUGAACCCACGACGACCUGGAGCUGAGCAGCAAGAGGGUGAGGGGCGCCCGGAUGGCAGUCUAGGAAAGAACUCCCCAGUCCCAGCCAUUGGGUGUGGGAAGUCAGCCUUCACCUCCGCUGAGGUGUGCGCCGGGAUUGCCCCAGAGGAAUGUUGCCUGUGGGGGCCACGCACCUUCCUUCCCAAGACAGACCACGCCCCUCUACCAGGGCAUGCCCCGCCCAUUUCCAGGACAGGCCCCACCCCCUCUCUGGGCAGACCACGCCUCUUCCCAGCGCCGACUCUGCCCUGUCCCAGGAUGGACAGCACUUCAUGAGUGCUCAGUGCAGGGACACAGAGGCCUGGACAUGUUGGUCCAACCUGGAAGGUUCAUUCCAGCUCCAGAGCUCCCUGUAAGAUCCAGCAAGGCUGUCCUGGAGCCUACCCGGCAGCGCGCUUCUCCCUCUGCCUAUCCCUGAUUCCUCAGGUGUUGAUCCCAAGAACACUCCAAAUAAAAUUCCUGCAUGUUAAUCUUCAUCUCAGAGUCUACAUCUAGGGAACACAACCAGUAACAUUAAUUUUUUUUUUUUUUUUUUUGAGACGGAGUCUCGCUCUGUCGCCCAGGCCGGACUGCGGACUGCAGUGGCGCAAUCUCGGCUCACUGCAAGAACAUUAAUUUAUAUUUAAACAUACUCUAAUGUCAUCUACCUCUAAAAAUUUCCAUGGCACUAGUCUUAACAUAAGCCUAUGUAGUUUUCAGUCAUUUAACAUUAUUAUGCCCUUCCACAUUCACCAACUCAUCCCUAGUUUGCUACCUUUCUCCUUUUUCCAUAUCAUAUCCUUGGUUCCACUACGUCUAUCCUACCCCCUCUCUGUGCAGUUUCCAUUGAUUUCUAAGGUAUUUCAACAUAAGUUACCACAGUGCUUUCACUUUAAAUGUUUCUGAUUAAAGGCCAGACCCAAUGGCUCACAUCUGUAAUCCCAGCACUUUGGGAGGCCGAGGCGGGAGGAUCACCUGAGGUCAGGAGUUCGACACCAGCCGGGCCAACAUGAAGAAACCCUGUCUACUAAAAAUACAAAAAUUAGCUGGGCGUGGUGGGGCAUGCCUGUAAUGCCAGCUACUCAGGAGGCUGAGGCAGGAGAAUCGCUUGAACACGGGAGGCAGAGGUUGCAGUGAGCCGAGAUCAUGCCACUGCACUCCAGCCUGGGGGAUAGAGUUAGACUCUGUCUCAAAAAAUAAAUAAAUAAAUAAAUAAAUAAAUGUUUCUGACUAAAAUGAAGAUAUAAGACACAUAUAAAAUAUGUUAUAGAGCAAUAGAUUGGAAGAUCAGAGAGGGAACAGGAUCAAGAGCACACAGAAACACUUUUUCCCUCUCUGAGGGAAGAGUGAAAACACAUAAUUGAUGGAGAAACAAGAUUGUGAGACAGAAAAACAAAAAGGCCUAGGCCCUAGGUCAAGUAUAUGUGAUUCAGGACAGGACUCUAUUCAAAGGGAAUAACUAGAUGUUCCUAAGAGCAUUAACACCCUCCAAGUGUGUGAUUCAGUUCUGAGAUGAACCUAUUACAGGACAAUAUCCAGCUCCCCAGCCUGAGACCUUUGCCAUUUGAGUGAAUAUUUUCCACGCUGGCAGAAACAUGUGAUUUAUUUGCCUGUCUCACUUUCAGGCAAAUCUGCAUAGUAAAUGACAAAAUGUUCCAGGGUUCCUGGGUUUUACUCCUUCCUAACUUUUGUGGGGUUUUGUUUGUGUAUUUCCUUUGGGAUUCAAUAUAGAAAUCCUGCCAAAUAUAUUUGGCAACCAUUGUCCUUGACAUGAACUGUUCUUUCACAUUUUAUCUAAAACUAAUCGGAAAACCUAUUAUAUUCCCUGACCUGUGGUUAGAAGAAACUGAGCAGCUGCGGGAACAGAUAAUAUAAAACUGAAUUUUCCCAGCUGUUUAUUUCAAACCUUGGCAGAGGCUGUCAGGAUGUGUCCAGAGUCAGCUUAUCCUGUUAAUCAGCAUCAAAAUAAUCUAAAGUAUAAAAGGGUUUCAUUAAAAUAAAAAUUCUAUCAACUUUUUUCUGGUAAAUACAUGUGACUGCCUAUACAAUAACAGAAAGCUAGAUAAUAAAUUAAUGAUGUAUUCCAUUCAAUUCAAUUUUAUACUCAAACUAUUAUUCUCUGUGCCUCAGGCUGCAUGCUAGAUGGACACUAAUAUACACAGUGUAUUAAGUAAAAUUAUCUCAAUAUUAAUUGUUAACAGGGCUAACUUUAAUGGAUAAAUGGUUGUUUAGUUAGAUGCCAGGCUACUGACAACCUGGGCCUCUACUUUCAAGGUCACUAACAUUGCUCAUCUGCAGGCUAUAUAGGCUGUAGAACGAACUUGGAUCCCCUCCUCACACCAUAUACCAAAAUUAACUCCAAGUGGAUCAAUGACCUCAAUGUAAGAACUAAAACUAUAAAAGUCUCAAAAGAAAAUAUAGGUUUAAAUCUUAGUGAUCUUUGAUUUGACAUUGAUUUCUUAGAUAUGACAACAAAAAUACAAGCAACCAAAGGGGUAAAAUAAAUAAAUAUUGGAUUUCAUCAAAAUGAAAAACUUUGUGCAUCACAGGAUACUAUUAGGAAAGUGAAAAUACUACCCACAGAAUGGGAAAAAAUAUUUUCAUGUCAUAGCUCUGAUAAGGGUAUAAUAUUAAGAAUAAAUAAAGAACUUAUACAACUCAGUACUAAAAAACAAAUAAUCCAAUUAAAAACACGCAAAGCAUUUAAAUAGACAUUUCUCCAAAGGAGAUACACAAAUGGUCAAUAAACACAUGAAAAGACUCUCAACAACGUAAGUCAUCAGGGAAAUGCAAAUCCAAACUACAAUGAGAUAUCACUUUAUCCACACUAGGAUGAGUAUAAUUAAAAAGACAGACAGUAACAAGUGUUGAUAAGAAUAUGGAAAAAUUGGAACACUCAUACUUUGGUAGUGAAAAUGUAAAAUGGUGCAGCUGCUUUGAAAAAGUCUGGCAGUUCCUCUAAAAGUUAAACAUAGAAUUACCAUGUGACCUAGCAAUUAUAUUCCUAAGUAUAUUCCGAAGAGAAAUAAAAGCAUAUGUACACAAAGACUUGUACAUGAAUGUUCUAUAGCAGCAUUAUUCAUAAUAGCCAAAAGGGGAAACAAUCCAAAAGUCCAUCAACAGAUGAAUGGAUAAACAAAAUGUGGUCUAUCCAUACAAUGGAGUAUUAUUCAGCCAUAAAAAGGAGUUAAAUUCUGAUACAUACUACAACAUGGAAGAUUUUUUUAAAUUAAAAAAUGAAAAUAGUUUCAUUCUUACUAUAUCUUUAUUUUCUUAUUUUAACUCCUCUAUCAUUCUGCAAAAAUGGAAGAAUCUUGAAAACAUGCUAAGCAAAAGAUGCUAGACACAAAAGGCCACAUAUUUUAUCCCUUCAUUUACAUGAAAUAUCCAGAAUAGGCAAAACCACAGUGACGGAAAGUAGGUUAAUGGUUGCCAGGGGCUGGGGAAAGGAAGAAAAUUAGAAGUGACUGUUUAAUGAUUACAGGGUUUCUUUUUGAGGUGAUGAAAAUAUUCUGGAAUUAAAUAAAGAUGAUAGUUGUACACUUUACGGAUUCACUAAAAACCACUGAAUUGUACACUUUCAAAUGGUGAAUUUUAUGAUAUGUAAAGUAUAUGUCAAUAAAAAUGUGGAGAUUUAGGAAAGGAAAAGAAUCUCCACACUGAAAAUAAGUGAUUUUUACAGUAUGUAAAUCAUACCUCCAAGGAGUGAAAAAAUGGUAAGGAAAUAUUCUGAACUUUAUACUAUUAAAUUCAACAGCUCAGAUGGAAUUUCUUUUCUUUUUUUGAGACAGAGCCUUGC
rnacentral:lncRNA from 1 species